GUCCUGCCUCCCCCUCCUCUCGGCUCAGCAGCGCUUCGUCGCGGCUUCUCUCUCGUGCCCUGCGCGCUCCGGACUCCGGUAUUCAAACUUUCCUCAGAGGAGAGACGGACGGUUCAACGUCCCGCAGGUGGAGCAAAACUAACGACUCUAACCGACCCGGUUCCGUUGUUUGGACCCUGACGUGGGAUUCGUUACAUGCCUUCUGGCUCCUGCGCGGUGCGGGACGCGGUCUCGGUGCGCACCGGACCAAAAAUGGACCGCGGAACGCGUCCGCUCUGGUUCCGUGGCGAUAAGACCAACUGAAAGGAAUCCGGCACCGAAGAGGACCGACCGGAGCACCGCGCACGUUCCCUUCUCAUCUUCUCCUCGAGUCCACGCGCCAGCCAGCGAGACGUCAGUGGAGACUCGAGGACACGGACAUACUGUAGCGGACACCCAAGAAGGACGUAGCUUCGGGGGGGACAGACGUCACAAACCGCCAGGACGCGCGAGGAACAGUCAGACGUGCACGCAGAUCAUCCCGUCGGGCAGUUAGAGGUGCGGUGAUCAGCAGAGCGGGUGAUGACGGCUCUUUUCUUCGCGGUGUGAAGGACAAAGGAAGAGAGAGCAGCACAGUCACACGUCACUCGCUGCAUUUUAAUGGUUCUCAGCUUCUACUUUUCAACUGAGGCCAUCUACUGUGAGUGGAAUCCAAUAUCUCUCCCCUAACAGGCACACAAACACAAUGCAGGGUGAUAGUUAUUGACACGGCUGAAUAAACCCCUCCUUCGGUUUGUUGGAAAUAACCAUAAUUAUCAGCAACAAUCUGAAUAACCAGGGGCAAGCAGCUCAGCUUCAACCACUCAUUUUUACCCAUUAGCUGGAGGAAAGUAGGCCAAAACAUUUCCUCAAUUGUAGUUAUUUUAGGAAAUUACAGUUGUUUCUUCUGUAGAUGUGAUCGGAUCGUAUUCUCUGUUCAAAUUCCAAAGUGCAGAGUAAAGUAAAUUUACAUUUCCAAAAGAGCGAAAGCG
ensembl:lncRNA